rnacentral:misc_RNA from 1 species
GAUGAAGAACGUAGCGAAAUGCGAUACUUGGUGUGAAUUGCAGAAUCCCGUGAACCAUCGAGUCUUUGAACGCAAGUUGCGCCCGAAGCCAUUAGGCCGAGGGCACGCCUGCCUGGGCGUCACACGUCGUUGCCCCCCCCAUCUACUCCUUCGGGAUUGCGGGGGGCGGAUGAUGGCCUCCCGUGCGCCUCGCCGCGCGGUUGGCAUAAAUGCCAAGUCCUCGGCGACGCACGCCACGACAAUCGGUGGUUGCGAAACCUCGGUUGCCCGUCGUGUGCGGUCGUCGCGCAUCGAGGGCUCGAAAAAAUUGCCGGGCUCCGGCUCGGCUUUCAACGCGACCCCAGGUCAGGCGGGGUUACCCGCUGAAUUUAAGCAUAUCAAUAAGCGGAGG